rnacentral:rRNA from 1 species
UACGGGGGGAGCAAGCGUUGUUCGGAUUUACUGGGCGUAAAGGGCGCGUAGGCGGCCACUGCAAGUCAGUUGUGAAAUCUCCGGGCUUAACCCGGAAAGGUCAACUGAUACUGCAGGGCUAGAGUGCAGAAGGGGCAACUGGAAUUCUCGGUGUAGCGGUGAAAUGCGUAGAUAUCAGUCGGAACACCGGUGGCGAAGGCGGCUUCUUGGGCCAUUUCUGACGCUGAGGCGCGAAAGCUAGGGGAGCGAACGGG